rnacentral:rRNA from 1 species
UACGAAGGGGGCUAGCGUUGCUCGGAAUCACUGGGCGUAAAGGGCGCGUAGGCGGCGUUUUAAGUCGGGGGUGAAAGCCUGUGGCUCAACCACAGAAUGGCCUUCGAUACUGGGACGCUUGAGUAUGGUAGAGGUUGGUGGAACUGCGAGUGUAGAGGUGAAAUUCGUAGAUAUUCGCAAGAACACCGGUGGCGAAGGCGGCCAACUGGACCAUUACUGACGCUGAGGCGCGAGAGCGUGGGGAGCAAACAGG